rnacentral:rRNA from 2 species
UACGAACCGUCCAAACGUUAUUCGGAAUUACUGGGCUUAAAGGGUUUGUAGGCGGCCUUGUAAGUGGGGUGUGAAAUCCCUCGGCUCAACCGAGGAAUGGCGCUCCAAACUACAAGGCUUGAGGGAGACAGGGGUAAGCGGAACUGAUGGUGGAGCGGUGAAAUGCGUUGAUAUCAUCAGGAACACCGGUGGCGAAAGCGGCUUACUGGGUCUCUUCUGACGCUGAGAAACGAAAGCUAGGGUAGCGAACGGG